rnacentral:misc_RNA from 1 species
GAUGAAGAACGUAGCGAAAUGCGAUAAGUAAUGUGAAUUGCAGAAUUCAGUGAAUCAUCGAAUCUUUGAACGCACAUUGCGCCCCUUGGUAUUCCGAGGGGCAUGCCUGUUCGAGCGUCAUUAUAACCCCUCAAGCUCAGCUUGGUGUUGGGGCCUGCUGCACUGGCAGCCCUUAAAAUCAGUGGCGGCGCCAUCUGGCUCUAAGCGUAGUAAUUCUUCUCGCUGUUGAGCUCCGAUGGUCGCCCGCCAGCAACCCCCAACUUUUACAGUUUGACCUGGGAUGAGGUAGGGAUACCCGCUGAACUUAAGCAUAUCAAUAAGCGGAGGA